AGUGAACGCUGGCGGCAGGCCUAACACAUGCAAGUCGAGCGGAAGAACAGAGCUUGCUCCUGGAUUCAGCGGGGGACGGGUGAGUGAGGCCGAGGAAUAUGCCUGUUUGUGGUGGAUAACGUGCGGAAGUGGGGGCUCAUACGGCAUUAGUCCAGAGGACGUACGGGGGGGAGCAUCGGACCUCCGGCCCUCGGGUGAGCGUAGGACGCGAUGUCGGAUUAGCUAGUUGGUGGGGUAAAGGCCUACCAAGGCGACGAUCCGUAGCUGGUCUGAGAGGAUGAUCAGUCACACUGGAACUGAGACACGGUCCAGACUCCUACGGGAGGCAGCAGUGGGGAAUAUUGGACAAUGGGCGCAAGCCUGAUCCAGCCAUGCCGCGUGUGUGAAGAAGGUCUUCGGAUUGUAAAGCACUUUUAUUUGGGAGGAAAGGCAGUAAGUUAAUACCCUGCUGUUUUGACGGUACCAACAGAAUAAGCACCGGCUAACUUCGUG
rnacentral:rRNA from 1 species